rnacentral:rRNA from 1 species
GACGACCGCUGGCGGCGUGCUUAACACAUGCAAGUCGAGCGGAGCGGCGAACGGGUGAGUAACGCGUGAGUAAUUGCCCCCCUCUCUGGGAUAACAGUUGGAAACGGCUGCUACUACCGGAUCGUGGGGGAUGACUCGCGUCCUAUCAGCUUGUUGGUGGGGUAGUGGCCUACCAAGGCGACGACGGGUAGCCGGCCUGAGAGGGCGACCGGCCACAGUGGGCUGAGAUACGGCACAAACUCAUACGGUAGGCAGCAGGGGGGAAUAUUGCACAAUGGGGGAAACCCUGAUGCAGAAACGCCGCGGGCGGGAUGACGGCCUUCGGGUUGUAAACAGCUUUCAGCGAUGACGCGGUAGUGGCAGAAGAAGCACCGGCUAACUACGUGCCAGCAGCCGCGGUAAUAC